rnacentral:miRNA from 1 species
CAAACCCCUGUCUACCCGCAG